UAUGUUUGAUUUUUCAGAAAUUGGAAAAGCACAGGUUGUUUUACACAUGUUUUCUUUUACCAUUAAUGCAUGCUAAUUAUUGUUUGAUUAUUAUGUUAUGUGGUGCGGUGAAUACUUUUUACGAUCAAAACAAAUUACUUGGGUCCUUUAAUAUUAUUAUUAUUUAUGCUAUAAUUUUUUUUUUGUCUUUCUUUUUUUCAAGGAAUAUUACUAUGCCUGAAAAUGAGCAAAGUCAGAACUGAAACAGCUUCUUCAGAGCUUUGGAAGGUUGCGGGUUUAGCUGUUGUUUGUGUUAUAUGUUUCACCUCUAAUGCUUUUGUGGCUUUGUUAACUGACAUUCCUGCGGUGUGUUUUGCUUUAAUGGGCAUUGGCAGCUCAUUUCAUGCUCAAGAAACUGCUGUGAGUGGGUAAUUAGAGAGUCGAGUGUGUGGAGUUUUGUUGUCUCAGUUCACGUUUUGGUGGCAUGAUAGACAUGGAAUCUGUCGAGGACGUGGCUAAUAUUUCUAAUGUGUCUGGGAUUACUACCCAUUCUUUGCAACUGUACAGUCAUUGCUGACCACUAGACCGUCUCCCUGCAACUGUACAGUCAUUGCAACUGUUGUUUAUUUCUUUGUGUUGAAAGUAGUAACUUUUAACUAUGUUGAAUAUUUAAGACUCCUUGAAUACUUAAAGAACAUUUUGUUGUUGAUGACAGUGUUGAAUGUUUUAAACUAAUUUGUGGAUUGUUAAUACAAUGUUGAAUGUUUUUA